CGGAACGGGGCGGCACCCCGCGGGGGCACUGUCAGCGCAGCGUGCUCCGUGUGUUUGGAUAUAAACCAUACAUCAGGAGGGCUGGUCCUGCUGGAGUCUCCGCCAGACGCUAAGAAGCAGGGAAGGGUCCUCCUGAGAGAAAAGAGCUCCAGGCAGGCCUGGGAGCAGCCUGUCUCUAUCUAAAGGGAGGCUGUGGGAAGGAAGGGGACAGACUCGUUGUGACAGGACAAGGAGAAAGGGUUUCAAACUAAAAGAGGGGACAUUUAGGUUGGAUAUAUGGAAAAAAGUCUUGUGCAAAAAGAGUAGUGAAGCCCUGUCCCUGGAGAUGCCCAAGGUCAGGCGGAUGGGCUCUGGGCACCCAAUGGAGCUGUAGGUUGCAAUGUGUUGGCUUAAUCCAUAGAGUGGGGUAUAGUUUAACCUAAAUAGCUUGCUAUGGAAAGCUAGCUUAUUUUGGGAUAUUUUUAUGUAUCUAUAAUCUCUCUUUUAUAUGUCCUGGCCUUUAAAAGCCUACUGCUUGGUACCAUGAGGUCCUUCCAUUGGUGCGGAACAGGAGCAUCUUGAAAAUCAGCAUGUCUGUCUAGCCAGCUAAAAGGGAGACUGUUAAUUAACAAAACAUGCAUGAAUGGGAGAGGUGGUUGAGGUCUCAUGAGUGCUGCAGCCCUCUCUCCAAGCACAUAAAGAUGGGGUAAGCCUUGACAGUUCCUGAGUUCACAGAAUCUCAUCUGGCACUGAGGUAUUUUUGGGAGGACCUUGAUCCCCAGGCUAAAGAGCCCCGCAGACAGUACCACUGACUAGUCUUUUGACUGCAUGGUAGAGGAUGAUGCUCAGAAAAUAUACCAUGUGCCCGUUGCAGUUCUGGAGAAAUGAAAAGCUGCUCAAAAGGAGAAUACCAAUACCUUAGAGACCCCAUUACUAGAAAUGGAAAUGGGGGAUUUUCAUCAAAGGACAGAUUGAAAUGAAUAUGAAUGUUGUGCUCUGUCUGCCAGCCCCUCAGCAUGUGCAGUGGUAGAAGGAAGGGAAUCUUGCUUCCUCUUGAGCUGGAGCACCAUGAAUCUGGCAACUCUGCAGCCUCCUGAGACCAACAGCCUGCUCAGGAAGUGCUGAAUGUUACAAGCAAAUGCUUUGCAGGAGACUCAGGUUAAUGUUCAUUCCAGCAUACCUGUGAACCUCAGUACUUCAGAGGACAUGGCUUGAUCUGCUAUAGACUUACUCACAUGGAACAAAAAUUCCUGAAAAGUGGUUAUUAGCGCGAUUGGUCAAAACAUCAAUUUCUGAGCCCAAAUGCAUUUGAAAAGUAGGGACUACGGUAAUGUAGUGCCAGCUGUAAGUAGCAGUGGAUUUCUGCUGAAACUACUUCUGAGAAACAUGGAAGCUGCAUUGUACAAGCUCUUGUUGUGGUAAAACUGCUCCACUGAGGAGGGCAGGAGCUCUGAAAAUGUCUUGACAGCAGCUGGUCUAAACAAGAAGAUGUAAAUCCAGAAAUGCUGCUGCUGAAAUGGCUGAGGGGGCCUGCUGAAUUCAUCAGCGACUGCUUUCUGUGAUCUUUUGUCUGGUACGCUGUCCUAUGCUCCUGGCUAGCACCUCUACCUAUGGUAAAAACAAUACUUGUUAGCAUCUGAUCAUCAAAUGCUUUUCACAGGCUCCUUUGGCUAAGCCCACUCUGAUGUGACCUCCUCUGCUGACUGUAAGGUCCUUCUGUAAACUGUUUCCUGAAAGAGAGCUAGAGCUCAGAGCCUGGGACUGGUACAUAGAGCUCUUUGAAAGGCACAGCUGGAGCAGGAGUGGUAACUACACCUACACCACAAGAUAUCAAGGGCUGUAAAAUAAACACCCUAUCCUAGGGUUUUCACUGUUCGACUGUAAACAGCUGUGUGUCUGUCCAGUGGGUCCCUGCUAAUGCAUGCCCUUCCAAAUGAGCAUUCCUUCUGGAAUGUGCCUGUGCAGUGUGGAAAGCCCAGGUCAGGACAGCUCGUUGUCUUACAGAGGCUUUACUCUGCCCUAUGGCUUCCUGAACCCAUCCAAAGCUCCACAGUGCAUCAAAGCUGUACUAUGUAGUAUUUUUUAACAGCAAAGCCUGCAAAGAAAAAGCCAUUGACACUUCCAUGAGCACAAACCUGCCGUACUAUAUUUGUUAGCAAUAUACAAAACCACAGAAUGUUCUUUCAGGUUGGUGCCCCGGUCAGCAUUUAUUUUCCUCUGUACUGCUCUGCCCAUACAAACCAUUUUAGAAUUUUACUUAUCUUAAACAAAAAUCAUCGUUCCAAAUUAAGGACCCGGAGUUCUCACUGCCAGAACAACCAAUCCGUCAGUCGCUUUUAAUAAUGCGAGCCUCUUUCAUGACUUUUCAGCUCUGAUGUUUGCAUGGUUUCAAAGCAGCACCUCCUGGCAGGCUGUGGUACUGCUUCUGAGGGCAGAGACCUUGUGUUUAUAUCCCACACAACAGCCCAGCGCAGUGACCUUCAGCAACAGCCCUUAUUGCUCAUCAUGCAAAAUGCCCCGUGAUGGACUCAAUUACUACAUCUUCCACCGGUGAAGGAAUAAAAAUGGGAAAUGUUUUUUGUUUUCUCUUUGUAUGAGCAAACAUAAGCACUCAGUGCUGUCACACAGAUCUCGUUCCCCCCCUUUUUUUAAUACUACAUGGGCUAUUUACAGUAAUAUCACUAGAAACAGUGUAGGACUUGAUCCAAAGGACUGAUGUCAGCAAACAGGAGAUGUUGGCUCCCAUCCCUCUAUACUGUAAUACGGACUUCAGUAGCUAUCUUUUCCUUCUGAUUUUACUCACUUCUAUGGCCCUGCAUACGUCUGACAGGCAGAAAAUUGAGGUGAGAAUGGUAAUUCAGGAUAUUUUCAGAAAACAUCAUUAGUUUAAAGUAUUACUAACUCUUUCAGUGUAUCUUAGUCCCUUAGCAUUGAAGCAAUGCCACUGUCUUCACGGACCAGCAAAAAUACCAUGAAGUGGAAGCAUCGCAGAAAAGCACUAAUGAAGAAAAUUAAGUAAGCUUCCUUAUUUGAUGUAUCUAUGCAUGGUUUAAUGCAGUGUUCUGCUGUAAGCGUUAGAAUCACCGUGAAACAGUCCAGCAAUUUGGAAUAACUUGAGGAAUCAGGCAUGAAGAACACCAGGCAACUUAUACAGGCUGAGAUAUGAUGUAAAUACAUCCUUACUAGAAAUAAAAACAGUGCAUAGAGAGCCUUUUCUAGAAGGAAGCAUGGAAAAGUGUCGGCAAUGAUGAUAAGAAGGUGUACGUAAUCAGUAAAUGUUUCUAUUCUCCAGCCCAGACUGCAGGAUGCUUCAUUGGUGUGCUGCCAGUGAAACACCUUUCUGACCAGUAGUGAAGUAUGAUGUUAAAAGCAUCUGUGAAAGAUGGACACCUGAAUGUCCAGUUUGGCUAUGCAGGCUGCAUUGUCAUGUUUUGAGAGAACUGGCUGAAAAAAUGAUCAUAUCAUAGAAUCACAGACUCACAGAAUGGCCUGGGUUGAAAAGGACCACAAUGCUCAUCAGUUCCAACCCCUGCUAUGUGCAGGGUCGCCAACCAGCAGACCAGGCUGCCCAGAGCCACAUCCAGCCUGGCCUUGAAUGCCUGCAGGGAUGGGGCAUCCACAGCCUCCUUGGGCAACCUGUUCAGUGCCUCACCACCCUCUGGGUGAAAAACUUCCUCCUAAUAUCCAACCUAAACCUCUCCUGUCUCAGUUUAAAACCACUCCCAAGUGAUGUGGCUAUUUGGGCUGGUAUUGCUAAGUCUCCCAGAGCAGAGGAAAGCUCGAUAGGAAAGCAACAUUGAUGUGAAGAAUGCCACUUAGGUGUUGUUUGCUGCAGCAAACUUCCUUGGUCCUUCACCAACCACAAAUUCUUGUAGAUUUGGAUGCAGACGUGUUUAGUUAAUGGAAUCAUGGAAUCAUUCAGAUUGGAAAUGAGAUCCCUGAGAUCCUGAGAUCCCCAGAUCCAACCCCAGCCCACCGCACCGUGCCCACUGCCCACGUCCCUCAGUGCCACAUCUCCACAGCUCUGAACACCUCCAGGGACGGUGAUUCCCCACCUCCCUGUGCAGCUGUGCAGCGCCUCACCGCUCUUUCUGAGAAGGGAUGUUUCCUAAUACCCAGCCUGACCUCCCCUGGCACAACGCGAGGCAGCCGCUUGUACGGCCGAUGGCAGCACGGAGGAACGCAGCCCGUCCUGGUCUGAUUGCGAUGCGCUGCUGCGCUGCAGAUAAAACCAUGACCUGCCCAAAUUGCUCUCUGCCGUAAGAGGGCGAGACUGGAAACAGGCAUUGCUGAGUCUAGGAGCAAUGCCCCAGGUGGCACGCUUCUGCCCACGACAACCACCGCGGCCAUCCCAUUGGCAGCUCUGCAGCCGGGCCGGGUCCGUCCCUCGUUCCAGUGUCCCAGUUCUCGGGAUUGGCGCACACGCUGAGCUCAGCUCCUCUCCGCCACCCCCGAGCUGCCCCCGCCGGGGACUGCCGGCUCCUCAGCCGCCG
rnacentral:lncRNA from 1 species